rnacentral:lncRNA from 1 species
CCUGAAUCAAAAUUUUUCUGGGUUGUGUUUGAUUAUUUUGUGAGUAAACAAAUUCAGGAUAUAAGUAACUUUAUAGUCUUGCGCUAAUUUAGUGUGGUAACCUAAUUAAUAAUAUUGCCACAUCUUCAGAAUAUAACCCAUUUCUACCCCCCACCUUAUUAUCUUGGGAAACAGGAAACCAAAUAUGAAUUGAAACUAAAUUCGCUUACAAAUAAAGAACUUUUCAAGACACAGGAAAUGUAUUUUUAUUCUACUUAGUAGAACAUUAAAGAACAUUAAAGAAGUAGAACAUUAAAGAUCAUUAAAGAACUUUUCUAUGCGGAUUAAUAUUUUAAUAUUCUGAAAUCUGAAUAAUAAUAUGCCUUAAGAAAUUCAAGGAGUGUAAUAUGAUUUCUGAUAUAAAAGUACUUCAGGGAAAACAAACUAUUUCAAAUAUGUUAACUAUUAUUACUACUCCAAAUUCUUCAAACACUGUGCCGUUCUAAUUUAUUAAUGAAAUGAUACACUAUUGAAAUGAUUUCAUUUUUAAUAAUGCCUCACAAAAUUUGAAUGUCUUUGCUUUCAUUAGGUGAUCAUUCAAAAUACCAAGCACAGCUGCUCACAGAUGACUGACCAAACAGGAAUCUCACUCCAUUUUUCAAUGUUCACCGGCUGACAACUUUUAGACAUCAUCCCUUCCUCAUCGUUUUUGUCCACAUUUGGGUGAGCUACUAAGAGAGCCUGUGCUUUCUCCUUCAGUACCUGCUGGAAACUGAAACCAUACAAGCCCCCCCCCCCUUAUCCGUACCCCACCCUUAAAUGCAAUAAAAACUCCUGAGCCAGUCUCUUUUUCUGGCACUCUCCAGACACUUCAGACCUCCUUGAGAUCCCUGCUCUGUGUGGUGUACUACUCUUGACAUUUCAGUCAAAUUUCAGUGAAAGUGCCCCCUGCUUUUGCAGGGUGACCGUAACGGCUUGACCCCUGCAGGAACUGAUCGAUCAAGGAAGACAACACAACAGCUGCAUGGAUUUCCUUCACAAACUAUUGUUUUUAUCUUCAUAAUUCAAAGAAAUCUACCUGCAAAGCUAGCUGAACUCCUCUUCACAGACCGCUCACAGCAGAGUUGGAUUCGCGGUGCAACAGGCCCAUUCCCGUUACAGGAGAAAGUUCGCAUGCAGGCACAGUCCUACAAUACGCUGUAUUUUCUAUGCUGGCAAAGAAGACAUCAGUAUUGAAGACGUAUUGAUAGUGUCAUUGUGCUUCAAACAGAACAUGGCGAAAGUGAAAUAUUAUCUGUACACUGCUUCCUCUGUGUUUCCCUCUUCACUUAAAUUUUCGAUUUAAUAUCAGUGAAGUGCAUUGUAGUAAGUAACUAUAUAUAUAUAUAUAUAUAUAUAUAUAUAUAUAUAUAUAUAUAUAUAUAUAUAUAUAUAUAUAUAUAUAUAUAUAUAUAUAUAUAUAUAUAUAUA